UUUCCCUUUCCUUCCUGGCUUCUCCUCUCUCGUUGCAACACUUCUUCAAUCUCAGAUUUUAAACACAAAUCAUGCUUGAUUUUGGAUUAUGGAUGUGAAUCUCGAUUCUCCAUUAUCGGAUAUGGAUUCAAUUCUUAGAUCUGAUUGCUUUAUCCGAUUGAAACUAGGGGAAGUUCAUAUAAAGUCACGAAAUUUUCAGACUUUCAGUAGAUUGGAUGAUUUGUGAUUUGGGACUCUCAACUUCCAAAACCGAAUGCAAGAGUUAUCUACUAUUGAUGGUUUUGCGGAGAUAAAUGAAAGCUUAGCCAAGAUGGGGUUUUACUAUAUCCAACAUCACGCCCAAAAUGCAGCACCAAAUCUUCUUAAUCUUAGCAUCAACAUUUUGGAGAAGUCCCGUGAAACAUGCUUGCAUACCGAAGACUUGGAAAAUUCUACAGCCAUGGUGAAAUCAAUGAAAAAGUGUGGUUCACCUAUCAUCUAUAUCUGUUGUUAAACAUCUAUGAUGGUUGUGAAACAACAUUUUAUAUUGUUUUGGUACUCAUUUGAUGUUUAUGCACUAUAAGAAUGUCAAAGAUUUAUAUUUGACAAGUUAAUAGUUGUUGAGGUAA